rnacentral:rRNA from 1 species
GAUGAACGCUGGCGGCGUGCCUAAUACAUGCAAGUCGAGCGAACAGAUGAGGAGCUUGCUCCUCUCACGUUAGCGGCGGACGUGUGAGUCACGCGUGGAUACCCUACCUAUCAGUCUGGGAUAACUUCGGGAAACCGGCGCUAAUACCGUAUAAUAUAUUGAACCGCAUGGUUCAAUAGUGAAAUACGGUUUUGCUGUCACUUCUAGAUGGUUCCGAGCCGCUUUAGCUAGUUGGUAAGGUAACGGCUUACCAAGGCAACGAUGCGUAGCCGAACUGAGGGGGUGAUCGGCCACAUUGGAACUUAGCCACGGUCCAUACUCCUACGGUAGGCAGCAGUAUGCAAUCGUCCGCAAUGGUCGAAAGCCUUACAGAGCGACGCCGCGUGAGUGAUGACGGUCUUCGGAUCGUAAAACUCUGUUAUUAGUUAAAAACAAAUUUGUAAGGAACUAUGCACUUCUUGACGGUACCUAAUCAGAAAGCCACGGCUAACUACGUG